rnacentral:rRNA from 1 species
UACGGAAGGCAGCAGGGGGGAAUAUUGCACAAUGGGCGCAAGCCUGAUGCAGCCAUGCCGCGUGUAUGAAGAAGGCCUUCGGGUUGUAAAGUACUUUCAGUCGUGAGGAAGGUGUUAAGGUUAAUAACCUUAGCAAUUGACGUUAGCGACAGAAGAAGCACCGGCUAACUCCGUGCCAGCAGCCGCGGUAAUACGGAGGGUGCGAGCGUUAAUCGGAAUUACUGGGCGUAAAGGGCACGCAGGCGGUUAAUUAAGUUGGAUGUGAAAUCCCCGGGCUUAACCUGGGAAUGGCAUUCAAGACUGGUUAGCUAGAGUCUUGUAGAGGGGGGUAGAAUUCCAUGUGUAGCGGUGAAAUGCGUAGAGAUGUGGAGGAAUACCGGUGGCGAAGGCGGCCCCUGGACAAAGACUGACGCUCAUGUGCGAAAGCGUGGGGAGCAAACGAGGGAUUAGAUAUC